CUGCAUCACCUGAUUUUGGCCUGAUCGGCCGUGUAUCAAGUGGGGCCAAUAGGGGCACAUCCUAGGGUUGUGGGACGACCCCCACCACAUCCUAGUCAUCCUCUACCCUCUUAUAUACCACCAUAGCUGCCACAAACAGAUUGGAUUUUAUUUAGAUGAAAGUUUAGUCGGGCAGCACAACGUCGAAUCCACCCAAAAUCGAGUUAUCCCCCACUCACCAAAAGAUUGGGAACAAACCCUAGAGGGUUCAUAUCAACUGAUAUAUUUGAUGAAUUGAUACAAAAAAUGGAUGAAAAGAAAGGAUGCAAAAAACUAUG
rnacentral:lncRNA from 1 species